GCCAGGUGUGGUGGUGGGCACCUGUAGUCCCAGCUACUCAGGAGGCUGAGGUGGGAGGAUUGCUUGAGCCCAGGAGCUCAAGACUGCAGUGAGCUGUGAUCACGCCAUUGCACUCCAGCCUGGGUGACACAGCAAGACCCUAUCUCAA
ensembl:misc_RNA Metazoa_SRP Metazoan signal recognition particle RNA